AGGACGAACGCUGGCGGCGUGCUUAACACAUGCAAGUCGAGGGGGAGUAGGGGCAACUCUACUUCACCGGCGAACGGGUGCGUAACACGUGAGCGACCUACCCUGGUGUGGGGAUAGCCGGCCCAACGGCCGGGUAAUACCGCAUACGCUCUUUGAGGGGCAUCCCUUGGAGACCAAAGCCGUGGGGCAACUCACGGCGCAUUGGGAGGGGCUCGCGGCCUAUCAGCUAGUUGGCGAGGUAACGGCUCACCAAGGCGACGACGGGU
rnacentral:rRNA from 1 species